rnacentral:rRNA from 1 species
UUAUGCCUACGGGGGGCAGCAGUGGGGAAUAUUGGGCAAUGGGCGCAAGACUGACCCAGCAAUGCCGCGUGAAGGAAGAAGGCCCUCGGGUUGUAAACUUCUUUUAUCAGGGACGAAGGAUGUGACGGUACCUGAUGAAUAAGCUCCGGCUAACUACGUGCCAGCAGCCGCGGUAAUACGUAGGGAGCAAGCGUUAUCCGGAUUUACUGGGCGUCAAGGGCGCGUAGGCGGGAUGGCAAGUCAGAUGUGAAAUCCAGGG